UACGGAGGGGGCGAGCGUUAUUCGGAAUUAUUGGGCGUAAAGGGCGCGUAGGCGGCUUGAUAAGUCAAAGGUGAAAUCCCUCGGCUCAACUGAGGAACUGCCUUUGAAACUGUCAGACUUGAGGCCGGGAGGGGGUAGCGGAAUUCCCAGUGUAGCGGUGAAAUGCGUAGAUACUGGGAGGAACACCGGUGGCGAAGGCGGCUACCUGGACCAACACUGACACUGAGGAGCGAAAGCGUGGGGAGCGAACAGG
rnacentral:rRNA from 1 species